rnacentral:rRNA from 1 species
ACAUCCAGAGAACUUUCCAGAGAUGGAUUGGUGCCUUGGGGGAACUCUGAGACAGGUGCUGCAUGGCUGUCGUCAGCUCGUGUUGUGAAAUGUUGGGUUAAGUCCCGCAACGAGCGCAACCCUUAUCCUUUGUUGCCAGCGGUUAGGCCGGGAACUCAAAGGAGACUGCCAGUGAUAAACUGGAGGAAGAUGGGGAUGACGUCAAGUCAUCAUGGCCCUUACGAGUAGGGCUACACACGUGCUACAAUGGCGCAUACAAAGAGAAGCGACCUCGCGAGAGCAAGCGGACCUCAUAAAGUGCGUCGUAGUCCGGAUUGGAGUCUGCAACUCGACUCCAUGAAGUCGGAAUCGCUAGUAAUCGUGGAUCAGAAUGCCACGGUGAAUACGUUCCCGGGCCUUGUACACACCGCCCGUCACACCAUGGGAGUGGGUUGCAAAAGAAGUAGGUAGCUUAACCUUCGGGAGGGCG